UGGGGAAUAUUGGACAAUGGGCGAAAGCCUGAUCCAGCCAUGCCGCGUGUGUGAAGAAGGCCUUUUGGUUGUAAAGCACUUUAAGUGGGGAGGAAAAGCUUGUGGUUAAUACCCACAAGCCCUGACGUUACCCACAGAAUAAGCACCGGCUAACUCUGUGCCAGCAGCCGCGGUAAUACAGAGGGUGCAAGCGUUAAUCGGAAUUACUGGGCGUAAAGCGAGCGUAGGUGGUCAUUUAAGUCAGAUGUGAAAGCCCCGGGCUUAACCUGGGAACUGCAUCUGAUACUGGGUGACUAGAGUAGGUGAGAGGGAAGUAGAAUUCCAGGUGUAGCGGUGAAAUGCGUAGAGAUCUGGAGGAAUACCGAUGGCGAAGGCAGCUUCCUGGCAUCAUACUGACACUGAGGUUCGAAAGCGUGGGUAGCAAACAGGAUUAGAUACCCUGGUAGUCCACGCCGUAAACGAUGUCUACCAGUCGUUGGGUCUCUUGAAGACUUAGUGACGCAGUUAACGCAAUAAGUAGACCGCCUGGGGAGUACGGCCGCAAGGUUA
rnacentral:rRNA from 1 species